rnacentral:rRNA from 1 species
UACGGGGGGGGCAAGCGUUGUUCGGAAUUACUGGGCGUAAAGGGCUCGUAGGCGGCCAACUAAGUCAGACGUGAAAUCCCUCGGCUUAACCGGGGAACUGCAUCUGAUACUGGAUGGCUUGAGAUUGGGAGAGGGAUGCGGAAUUCCAGGUGUAGCGGUGAAAUGCGUAGAUAUCUGGAGGAACACCGGUGGCGAAGGCGGCGACCUGGGUCGAUACUGACGCUGAGGCGCGAAAGCGUGGGGAGCAAACAGG